UACAGAGGGUGCGAGCGUUAAUCGGAAUUACUGGGCGUAAAGCGCACGUAGGUGGCGACGUAAGUCGGAUGUGAAAUCCCCAGGCUCAACCUGGGAACUGCAUCCGAUACUGGAUGGCUUGAAUUCGGGAGAGGGAUGCAGAAUUCCAGGUGUAGCGGUGAAAUGCGUAGAUAUCUGGAGGAACACCGGUGGCGAAGGCGGCAUCCUGGACCGGUAUUGACGCUGAGGCGCGAAAGCCAGGGGAGCAAACGGG
rnacentral:rRNA from 1 species